rnacentral:lncRNA from 1 species
UCUACCCUGCGUCUUAUUCAUACAUGGCCUGGUAAAGCCUAUAAGCCACCUACUCCAGGAAGCUUUCCAAUAGUCAUGGUUCCUGCCCCUGAACAUUCUGGGCCUCUCCAGACAACUACAGAAUGUAAGACAAAAAAAAAAAAAAAAAGCCUAGACUUCUCUGUCAGACCUAGAGUCAGGCUGCAGCUCCAUCCCUUAACUGCCUUCAUAACCUUCAAGCUGUGUCAUCUGAGUCCCAACACUGUUACACAUGAAUGAAGGCAUCCAAGCAGGCUCUGAGGCACGGUAGCCCCCUUGUACCGACUGACACAGGAAAAGGUCCUACUGACAACAGGUGCAUGACCCUGCAUAUUAGACCACGCUGUGCACCUCCAACGCCACUACCUAGUCAAGACCACCAUCUUCACUACAACAGGGCAGGGCUCCGUCCUGCCUCCAAGUACUACACGUGCACUGGGCAGUCCCUCUGCCCAUGACUCUCCUGCUCCUCCUGCCCCAACAAGUCUUCUCAGCUCUAGGAUUUUAAGCAGAAAGUGGGUAGAUGAAACACCCUCACAGUAGUCACUUACGUUUCCAGUCCACUAGGCUUCACUUCCGGUCUACCAAGUUUCACUUCCGGUUUAACGGCUUUUACUUCCGUUCUGGCUUUAAAGUCAACAUAGCUCAUCCUUUUCUUUCCAACUUGCCCCAAACCCUCGGCCACGCCCAUUUUCCUGCCUUUUCUCCCUGUCUUUCACCCCUAGAGGCCUGGAAGGAAGCCCCACCUUGGACAUCUUUAGCCAUGCCCUCUGAACCAGCAUGGCAUGGUGUGCCUGUGGAAGACAUUCACCAGCACGGAGAGAGACGAAGCCAAGCCCCUUCCUGCACACGGAGCUGUGACCUUCUAAGAACAAAGCAUACUGACAGCAUCAAACAUCACCAAGUUGGCCACAGCAGUUCCAUAAAAUGGUAGUUUAAAAAUAUUCAGUUGAUGAAUACUUUAAUUCCCUACCCCAAAACACAAUUUCAGAUACAACUGCUGCUUAUAUUCAAAGCCCACAUAAAAUCCUCAUUAAAUGUAGGAGUGAGUGCU